rnacentral:lncRNA from 1 species
GAGAAAAACAGGAAGUGGAGCCUGAGAGCAAAGGCUGCAGCAGCCCUACCCGGGGCGGGGAGUGUGGCAGCCCCCUCCCCCCCGCAGCCUUACGGGAAAGUGGUCAGGGGGCAGCCCCAGCCUGAGCAGGGGGCAGGGGGUUGGGGGAGAGGAGAACCCAGUAUGGACCCUUUAACCACGAGGAGGUUUAUUUUUAGAUCAAACCUCACCCUUGGCUCUGGCAUUUCACAUCUUCUCUCACCUGCUCACAUCACCUCCUCAAGGUUGGCACCAUUACCCCCAUUUUCCCGGUAAGCGAAGAAACCCAGAGAAGUUAAGCGACUUGGCCGAGGCCACACAGCUUUUCCCACGGCUGGGUCACGGCUCCUUGAUUCUUUCUCAGACUUUGAUUUCUAUUUGUGGUGUGUUUUUGUUCCGGGCCUGUGAGCACGCAGGGGGUGAGGGGAGGCAGGGGAGGCGGGACGGUGCAGGGGGAGGGGGCUUUCUCUGGCUUCUGCCUCUGGCACAUCCGAGCUAGCUAGCCGAGCUAGCCGCAAGACAGGCAGCACGGCCAGCCUCCGAGAGCCCAUCCCUAGAGGUCCUGGUUCCUGGAAUGCGUGAGCAGGAAGGGCCAGGAGGAGGGGAGAGGGAGCCAGGGAGGGGAAGGCAGCCAGAUGACAGCCGAGGAGGAAGGGUGCCCUCCCCCCAAAUACAGAAGCAAGUAUCUAUGACCCCAGCUGGCCAACGACCAUCCCAAGGACUCAGAAAUUCAGGAAAAGCCUUAAGUACAGAAGAGAGAUUCCUAAAAGACGUUGACCACCGUCCCAGCUAUAAAAGCGGGGAGAACUGACCAGCCUCCGGGAUGCGCACCUGCUCGUGUUCACGGGAAGGCAGCCUUUAAGAGGGAUGAGGACGCACACCUGAUGUGGAAAUAGGUCCAGGAGGUGAGAAACAGAGCGACAAAACGUUGUGGACAGNAUGAGAACUGAGCUUGGAGCUCCCGUCGUGGCUCAGAGGAAACGAAUCUGACUAGUAUCCACGGGGACGCAGAUUCGAUCCCUGGCCUCGCUCAGUGGGUUAAGGAUCCCGCGUUGCUGUGGCUGUGGCGUAGGCCGGCGGCUAUCGUUCUGACUUGACCCCUAGCCUGGGAACCUCCAUAUGCUGCAAGUGGGGCCCUCAAAACAAAAAAAGAUAGAAGACAACUGAACUUUUCUGCUAGAAGUGCUGCUGGGUACCCUGAUCGCCGCCUUUCACCCGCCCCUCCCUCUGAAGUUGUGGGGGGAAGGGGGACAGAAUGAAAAUCAUUUCUUUCUUUUUUUCUUCCUUCCUUCCCUCCUUCCUUCUUCCUCGCUCCCUCCCUUCCUAAGAGAUAGCUAAUAAACCCUUUAUUUUAGAAUCA